AGUCCUGUAGUGUAGUGGCCUAGCAUGCUGGCCUUUGGAGCCAGCGACGGAGGUUCGAAUCCUCCCAGGACUG
rnacentral:tRNA from 1 species